rnacentral:rRNA from 1 species
UACGGGGGGGGCAAGCGUUGUUCGGAAUUACUGGGCGUAAAGGGCUCGUAGGCGGCCAACUAAGUCAGACGUGAAAUCCCUCGGCUUAACCGGGGAACUGCGUCUGAUACUGGAUGGCUUGAGGUUGGGAGAGGGAUGCGGAAUUCCAGGUGUAGCGGUGAAAUGCGUAGAUAUCUGGAGGAACACCGGUGGCGAAGGCGGCAUCCUGGACCAAUUCUGGACGCUGGAGGAGGACGCAAAGGCCAGGGGA